rnacentral:ncRNA from 1 species
CUAACAUGGCAAUGGUUGACAUGGCUGAUAAUAGUAACAAGAUGGGUUUUCCAUUGAAAAGCUCAUGUUAAAUUGAUUGAAUUGCUGGAAGGCCCUUAGAGCGUUAAAAACUACAACGUAAUGAUGAAAUAAGCAUAAGCGUGAAUGUUUGAAAAUUUUAACGAUUGGGUAAUCAGCAGCCAAGCCCCAAACAGGGGAAGGUUCAACGACUAGCCGGAAGGCGUACACUCAAGCGAGUGGAAGUGGUCAACAUAGAAGAUAUAGUCUACACUCAUAGGAAACUAUGAG